rnacentral:lncRNA from 1 species
GAUUCAGCAGCUUCCUGACUAGAGAUAGAGCCAGAGCAGAAGAUGGGCAGAGUCUGCAUGUGGCUGCAGGACCUCUGUCAGAGAAUGAAACACUCAUCGCAUGAUAGGGCCAGAUUUGAGUGUGUGAAUUUUUGAGUGAAACCUGGAACCCAAAUGAGAAGAAAUCUGCAAGGAAUAACUACUGACAGUGAAUCUGCGGUCAUCUGUAUGCAUAAUAUGGAAUGUUCUUAACCCAGAAGUAGCUGAAUGUGUUACUCCAUUGCUGAGGAGUGACUAUCUGUUAUAG